rnacentral:lncRNA from 1 species
AUGGUGCUCACCACGGAACCACAUCCUCAAAGUGCCACAUCCACAGGGCUCUGGGCACCUCCAGGGAUCCACCACUGCCCUGGGCUGCCCCUUCCAAGGUCUGAAAACCCUUUCCAGGGAGAAAUUUUUCUUAAUAUCCAAUCUAAAUCUCCUCCUGUCCCUGUUCCUUGGGAGCAGAACCUGACACCCCUCUCCUGUCAGGGACUUGUGCAGAGCCAGAAAUUCCCCCUGAGCCUCCUUUGCUCCAGCCUGAGCCCCUUCCCAGCUCCCUCAGGAAUUCUCCAGCCCCUUCCCAGCUCCCUCAGGAAUUCUCCAGCCCCUUCCCAUCUCCCUCAGGAAUUCUCCAGCUCCUUCCCAUCUCCCUCAGGGAUUCUCCAGCCCCUUCCCAGCUCCCUCAGCAAUUCUCCAGCCCCUUCCCCAGCUCUGUUCCCUUCCCUGGACACUCUCCAGCCCCUCAAUCUCUUUCUUGUCAUGAGGGCCCCAGAACUGACCCCAGAUUUGAGGUCCCUCAGCAGAGUCAGCAUGGAGCACAAUCCCUGCCCUGGUCCUGUGGCCACAGCAGGGCUGGCCCCAGCCAGGUUCCACCUGGGCUCACCUGGGCUCACAGGUCACAAUGACAAAAGGAAUGUGAUGGUCACAGACACAGGAGGGGCUGUGACACCUCAGCAGAGCACCAGGAGGUUUAAGAAGAGCCCAGAGGUGGCACCGAGUGCCAGAAGGUGGUGGCGGGUCAUCUCAAAAGGAGGAAUCCCACAGAGCAAUGCCCUGUGAGCAUUGAUCCCCACUGAAAAAUGAUGGGAAUGGGAACCACCAGAGGAAUCAGAUCCUUCCUGCAGCGCUCCCACCAGCUGGGGAAGAGCUGUCACCCCCCAAAGCCAGGCUCGGCUCCUCCCAAACCCAACUUGGUGCCUUUAAAACCCAGGGAUGGGAGCUGAGGAAUGUGGAAGGGCUUGGAAGAGAGACAGGAGAUAUCAGCCCUUCGGAGGAGCCGGUUGCCAUGGAGACAGGCUCGUUUAACCCAAUCAGGGUCAGGCAACCCUUUGUGUUCGAGCUAAUUUAAUUAAAGACGUGGAGGAUGAGCGAAAUAAAUUGGCCCAGAGCUCACCUUGGGGUGGUGUC